GGUAUAAGCAAGCUUAACUGCGAGACAGACAAGUCGAGCAGGUACGAAAGUAGGUCAUAGUGAUCCGGUGGUUCUGAAUGGAAGGGCCAUCGCUCAACGGAUAAAAGGUACUCCGGGGAUAACAGGCUGAUACCGCCCAAGAGUUCAUAUCGACGGCGGUGUUUGGCACCUCGAUGUCGGCUCAUCACAUCCUGGGGCUGAAGUAGGUCCCAAGGGUAUGGCUGUUCGCCAUUUAAAGUGGUACGCGAGCUGGGUUUAGAACGUCGUGAGACAGUUCGGUCCCUAUCUGCCGUGGGCGUUGGAGAAUUGGUUGGGGCUGCUCCUAGUACGAGAGGACCGGAGUGGACGCACCACUGGUGUUCCGGUUGUGUCGCCAGACGCAUUGCCGGGUAGCUAAGUGCGGAAGAGAUAAGUGCUGAAAGCAUCUAAGCACGAAACUUGCCAAGAGAUGAGUUCUCCCAAUCUUAGAGAUUGUAAGGGUUGUUUAAGACUAAGACGUAGAUAGGUGCGGUGUGUAAGUGAUGUGAGUCAUUGAGCUAACGCAUACUAAUUGCCCGAGAGGCUUAACUAUACAACGCUCAAG
rnacentral:rRNA from 1 species